AAAGGAAGUAAAUUGUUGCUGUCGCAGCGCUAGGAACUUCUGAAACCGUGAAGGAGGCUACAGGAGUUUCAUGCAUUCCAUCCGUAUCUUGAGUACCCAAGAAAUGUACUUGAAAAUCCAUACUGUGUUGUCCUGUCAUCUCCACUACUACAUUCCUGGCCAGCCUCAGGGUCAAGAACCAAGCAGAAUAAUAAGCCCAGCUAAAAAGUGAUUAAAUAUUGUCUUUGAAGGUCUGAAAGCAAAAGGAAAGGGAGGCUUGCUGAAGCAACUCAAAAACAUGGAUAGAGAAGAAAGGGUAUAGGAAGUAGUUGCAGCAAGACUGGAGAAACACUUUGUUGUUUUGCUUUAGUUUUGUGCUGUUGAAUAAAAACUGCCUUAAAAAGAUGGUCAAAACAGGGUGUCCUCCCCAUGCUGGAAGACAGGCAGAUAUGUGUGCUGGUGAUUGCUUAUGGUUACUGAGCACUCCUGGUGUCACUUGAGCAUGUGAUGCUUCUCUAGGGUGAGUGCAGUGGCUUCCUGCAGGUAUCGAUUCCCUGGUUUGGGGAGUGGGAGUGCAGGGAAUCUUAUCAGUAAAACCAGCAUCUUCUCACAAGGAAAAAGGGGUAGCAAAAGGAAUAGAAAUGAAGAAGGUUCUCCUGUACUUAUCCUUCUCUUUUUCAGGUCACUGUAGGGUGCUGUGUUACCUGUGCCAAGCUGCUGUUCUAGUGAGCACUGUGCGUAACUUGCCAAAACCACCCCCAGUUUAGCCAGCAGCAGUUUGCUUUCCCUUGCUAGCAUUCAGUUACUUCAGUCACAUGAACUGUCCUGUCCAGCAUCUAAGUCCAGCUGACUCCAAACAGUUACUAGGAAUUCAAAGGUUCUUACCUUUUGAGAUGGAACUUCAGAUAUUUGAGGAUGCUGCGACUCGGCAGAAAUGUGCAACUCAUGCAGUGUCCCCCUUUGACCUUUGGAGCAGGGUUAUCCAGUGAUGCAUCUCUUCAGGAGUGUCGGCAUUACAGUGAAGAACACGAUUAGCAG